CAAGUCAGUAUCUCCAACCCUCCUUCUUUUUUCUAUGAGGCUGAUUCAACAAAUGUUAGUAUUGAAUACCAACUGUGUUCCAGGCAUUGUAAUGAAGCUAUGGAUAUAGCAAUGAAACAAAUAUGAAACUCCAGUUCUCAUGAAGCUUACAUUUUUAGGUGAAAGAGAUUAACAGACAAAGAAAGGGGAAGUAAUGAUGAGUGCAAUGGAGAAUGUAAAGUGGGGUAAGGUUGAUAGGAAGUGACAGUGGUGCUUUCUUUUUAUGAGGUCAUGAAGGAAACCUUCUCUGAUGACACUAGAGCAGAGACCUGAAGAACACAAGGAGGAAAGCAGUCCAUGUGACUAUGGGUGGUAUGACAUUCCAGGCAGAAGGAAGAGCAGGUGCCAAAGCCCCAAGGCAGGAGAGGACUGAGGAGGUCCUAAGAAGAGUGGAGAAACUGAAUACGUCAUGUGGAACAUACGAAGAGCACUGAGAUGGAAGUCUGGGAUUGUAUUUGAGCACUGGCACUUAUUAGCUGUGAAACUAAGGUUCAGAGGUGCCGAGUAACCUGCUUUUGAUCACCCAGACUGCUCUAGCUGCUUUUACCCACAUUGCUUUCCUAAACCAGUAUUCAAGUAAAUGCACAAUCAGUAUAUACACAGUCAGCCUAGGACAGCAUGACAGAACGUCCCCCUUCCCUGCUCUCAUUACCAGGUCAACUUAAGUAGCACUACCUGCCUCUCCCUUUUGACCUUUUUGAGGCCUUUUCUGACUCCUUUUUCCGGUCAAGGGUGCCUUAUUAAUGUCCAUUUUAACCUCAUUUUACCUGUGUGUGAAGCUGAAUGUCUGGGAGAGGUGCCACAUGCCCAUGUAACUCAAACUUUUCAUAAUUUACCCAAGGGACAAUUGGGAGAGUAUCAAGUUCCCUUUGCAUAAUUGAAUCCAGAACUCUUCUAGACUCUUGGAGUUACAAAGUUGGGUUAUAAAUGUCAUGAGAACAAACUCUCUGGCAAGAUAUCUAAUGCUACUACUUCCAGUCUCAACUAGACAUAACAGGAGACUAGCUUUUCCCAGGGUAUUUUAGUGCUUUGGGUUCUGGUCCCAACUGGAAUCAAGUUGUGAAACAACUUCCAAGUAAACAUUCAGAAUGUUAGUGAAAAUGCUUGGUUCAAUAUUAAGUGUAUCAAUAGGUGAAGCUGGGAGAGUGGGGUGAUGAGAAUGAGUGGAAGGAGUAUAGGCAUGUUUUUUUUCCUCCAAAUUAUUAAUGAUUAAGACACCCAUUGGAGUCCUAGAUGGAUCUACUGGAUAUUUUACAUGCCAUUUCCCAAAUAGUUCUGUGCAGAGGUAGGG
rnacentral:lncRNA from 1 species